rnacentral:rRNA from 1 species
AAUGGGGGAAACCCUGAUGCAGCAACGCCGCGUGAGUGAUGACGGCCUUCGGGUUGUAAAGCUCUGUCUUCAGGGACGAUAAUGACGGUACCUGAGGAGGAAGCCACGGCUAACUACGUGCCAGCAGCCGCGGUAAUACGUAGGUGGCGAGCGUUGUCCGGAUUUACUGGGCGUAAAGGGAGCGUAGGCGGACUUUUAAGUGAGAUGUGAAAUACCCGGGCUCAACUUGGGUGCUGCAUUUCAAACUGGAAGUCUAGAGUGCAGGAGAGGAGAAUGGAAUUCCUAGUGUAGCGGUGAAAUGCGUAGAGAUUAGGAAGAACACCAGUGGCGAAGGCGAUUCUCUGGACUGUAACUGACGCUGAGGCUCGAAAGCGUGGGGAGCAAA